UACGUAGGGUGCAAGCGUUGUCCGGAAUUAUUGGGCGUAAAGAGCUCGUAGGCGGUCUGUUGCGUCGGCUGUGAAAACCCGGGGCUCAACCCCGGGCCUGCAGCCGAUACGGGCAGACUAGAGUUCGGCAGGGGCGACUGGAAUUCCUGGUGUAGCGGUGAAAUGCGCAGAUAUCAGGAGGAACACCGGUGGCGAAGGCGGGUCUCUGGGCCGAUACUGACGCUGAGGAGCGAAAGCGUGGGGAGCGAACAGG
rnacentral:rRNA from 1 species